GCCAGGUGUGGUGGCUCAUUCCUGUAAUCCCAGCACUUUGGGAGGCUGAGGCAGGAGGAUCACUUGAGCCCAGGAGUUCAGGACCAGCCUGGGCAAUAUAGUGAGACUCUGUCUCUA
rnacentral:SRP_RNA from 1 species